rnacentral:lncRNA from 1 species
CUUGAAAUUCAUUUGCUAUUAUGACAUGCUUAUAUACACUUCGUAUGAGAUCAAUAUCCUUACAUUAAAGAGAUCAAUAUCACUACAUUAAAGAAAUGAUAUGAUCCAUAUAAAGAAAAUCUCUACAAAUAUGUCCAUACUUGGCAAAAUUAAGAAAUAAUUUCUAUCACAUGGGAUUAUAUAGCUGGUCAUAUGUGCCAAAUCUAGUUGCAUGGUUGGCUGAGGAAAUCAAGAAAUGAUUUCCAUCAUAUGGAUUGUAUAGCUGCCCCUAUCUGCCUAAUCUAUUGCCAAGAGAAUCAAGAUAUGAUUUUUGUUGGCCCAACUAGGCAACCGAAGAGGGGGGGAGGGUGAAUUGGGUUUUAUAAAAUUUUAUGAAAAUAAAAUCAAAUCAUCUCAAGUUUUUAAAUCUAAUGAAAUAAACUAGAUACAAUAAGUAUAGCAAAUAAUAAUCACAAAUAUGCAACUAAGUAUUGAAAAAUAAAGAGUGAAGGAAAAAAAAUAAUACACGACAAUUUAUUGUGGUUCGGUCUCCUUGUGAGCCUACAUACACUCCCCAAAACUUCUUCUUGAGAUUAAUCUACUAUGCUUAUCCAAAGCUUUACAAAUCGCUUGUCUUCCGAGUGCAAGCAACCUUUACAUUUGGUGAUAUCCGAGCUAACCCUUGAUUAAUCUACUCCCUCAAACACUCUCUUAUUUAUCUAGAGUACAAUUCUCCAAAGCAAUCUCUUUUUAUCACUCAAACUAACAAGAGCUCAACAACUCUCUUACAAUACUUAAUCAAAAUAACAAAAAUGAAAGCACUAUACUCAAUUUCUCAACAAGGAAGACUUUUUACUUCGAAGCACAGUACUCUCUUGAUUUCUCUUU